rnacentral:rRNA from 1 species
GACGAACGCUGGCGGCGUGCUUAACACAUGCAAGUCGAGCGGUAAGGCCCUUUCGGGGGUACGACGAGCGGCGAACGGGUGGAGUAACACGUGGGUGACCUCGCCCUCCAGCUCUGGGAGUAAGCCUGGGAAACGUAGGGUCUAAUACUGGAUAUGACUCCACGGUGCAUGUCGUGGGGUGGAAAGCCUUGUGCGGCUGAGGAUGGGCCC